rnacentral:rRNA from 1 species
GAUGAACGCUAGCUACAGGCUUAACACAUGCAAGUCGAGGGACCGGCGCACGGGUGAGUAACACGUAUCCAACCUGCCCUUUACUCGGGGAUAGCCUUUCGAAAGAAAGAUUAAUACCCGAUAUAAAGGAUGGGGAUGCGUUCCAUUAGGUUGUUGGUGAGGUAACGGCCCACCAAGCCUUCGAUGGAUAGGGGUUCUGAGGGGAAGGUCCCCCACAAUGGAACGGCGACACGGUCCAAAAUCCUACGGGAGGCAGCAGUUAGGAAUAUUGGUGAAUGGGCGCUAGCCGGAACCAGCCAAGUAGCGGGAAGAAUGAAGGCUUAUGGGUCGUAAACGUCUAUUAUAUAAGAAUAUGUAUUAUAUGAAUAAGGAUCGGCUAACUCCGUGCCAGCAGCCGCGGUAAUAC